GCAGUCUCGCGAGAGCCCGUCCCGCGCACGUGAGGCGGGGGCGGAGCCGCGGGGCGUCCCGUCACGCGCCGCGCAGCCAAUGGGCGGGGACGCACGGGGUGGGCGGGGCCGAGGUGCGUCAGUUUGGGCGGGAGCGGUCGCAGUUGCGGCUGCACUUGCGGAAGCAGAAGGAUGUUACAAGCAGCAAUACAGAUCUUCAUCUAACACGUUAGACCGGCAUCUUCUUUGUGAUCUGUCAUCUUUAAAACGUUCGAUGUCAUGAGGUUAAACUGGAAAUGGACAAUCACUCAGUUUCUUGCAGAGAUUGCUGCUGGGUUACAUCCCAUAUGCACAGAGGUAAAUUCUUGAAUGAUCCCAUUUGGACAGAGCGUCACCUUCAUCUUCCACAGCGCUGCGUUCACAGGAUGGAUGAAAGAGAAGAGACACUUGUACAGAGCGUCCGAUCCCUCCAGCAUUUCUGUAACCAUGGUGACAUAGAGAUAACAGGCCUGAUUUCAACUCACCUUUUAUUGUUUCAGCAGCAAAGAACUAAUUCUAUAAAUACCCCCCCAGCCAUUGGAAUCAAAUACUGACCUUCUACUUCUUAGUUAAAAAAUAGAUGAUAUAUUGCUAUUCAGUACAAAAAAGUGCCAAGAUCAAUUCCAUAAUAAAACCAUGUACGAUGUGUCGUCUCAUAAGCCACAUAACUGCAGUGAAGAAGGGGAAGA